UACAGAGGGUGCAAGCGUUAAUCGGAAUUACUGGGCGUAAAGGGCGCGUAGGCGGGUCAUUAAGUUAGUUGUGAAAUCCCUGGGCUUAACCUAGGAACUGCACCUAAUACUGAUGAUCUAGAGUGCUGUAGAGGGUAGUGGAAUUUCCGGUGUAGCGGUGAAAUGCGUAGAUAUCGGAAGGAACACCAGUGGCGAAGGCGGCUACCUGGACAGACACUGACGCUGAGGCGCGAAAGCGUGGGGAGCAAACAGG
rnacentral:rRNA from 1 species